AACGAACGCUGGCGGCAGGCUUAACACAUGCAAGUCGAACGCCCCGCAAGGGGAGUGGCAGACGGGUGAGUAACGCGUGGGAACAUACCCUUUUCUACGGAAUAGCUCUGGGAAACUGGAAUUAAUACCGUAUACGCCCUACGGGGGAAAGAUUUAUCGGGGAAGGAUUGGCCCGCGUUGGAUUAGCUAGUUGGUGGGGUAAAGGCCUACCAAGGCGACGAUCCAUAGCUGGUCUGAGAGGAUGAUCAGCCACAUUGGGACUGAGACACGGCCCAAACUCCUACGGGAGGCAGCAGUGGGGAAUAUUGGACAAUGGGCGCAAGCCUGAUCCAGCCAUGCCGCGUGAGUGAUGAAGGCCUUAGGGUUGUAAAGCUCUUUCAGCGAUGAAGAUAAUGACGGUAGUCGGAGAAGAAGCCCCGGCUAACUUCGUG
rnacentral:rRNA from 1 species